rnacentral:rRNA from 1 species
UGCAUUAGAGUUUGAUCCUGGCUCAGAACGAACGCUGGCGGCGUGGAUAAGACAUGCAAGUCGAACGAGAAUUUUCGUCGUAGCAAUACGAUGGAAAGUCUAGUGGCGAACGGGUGCUUAACACGUGGGCAACCUGCCAGGAAGUGGGGGAUAGCUCGCCGAAAGGCGAAUUAAUACCGCAUGUGAUUAGAGAGGACAUCCUUUCGAAAUUAAAGUCGGGGCAACCUGACGCUUCUUGUGGGGCCCGCGGCCUAUCAGCUAGUUGGUGGGGUAAAGGCUCACCAAGGCUUUGACGGGUAGCUGGUCUGAGAGGACGACCAGCCACACUGGGACUGAGACACGGCCCAGACACCUACGGGUGGCAGCAGUCGAGAAUUUUUGACAAUGGGGGAAACCCUGAUCGAGCGACGCCGCGUGGAGGAUGAAGGUCUUCGGAUUGUAAACUCCUGUCAUUGGGGAACAAGGUGCAUACGUUAACUGCGUGCGCAUUGAUAGUACCCGAAGAGGAAGAGACGGCUAACUCUGUGCCAGCAGCCGCGGUAAUACAGAGGUCUCAAGCGUUGUUCCGAUUCUUUGGGCGUAAAGGGUGCGUAAGCGGGCGCCGGAAGUCCGGGGUGAAAUCUCGGAGCUUAACUCCGAAAUUGCAUUCGAUACCUGCCCGGCUUGAGGACUGAAAAGGAUACUGGGAUUUCACGGGGGAGCGGCGGAAAGGCGUCAAUUUCCGGGAGGACACCCGAUGGGUACGCGGGGGGCCUGGCGACAUCUGAGAGCUACGGUAGUAAAACCCAGCGAACCGAACUGGCAUAAAUAACCGGGGGACCGGGGGCGGAACGGUGACACCUGAGGGGGGAGCCACCCACCCCUUCCGGCGCGA